UACAUCAUUGAUCUUGCUAUCUCC
rnacentral:miRNA from 1 species